rnacentral:lncRNA from 1 species
ACUGAUUGAAUACUAAUUUUUUAUUUAAAUGAAAGUGAGCAUGUAAAACACCUGAUGAUCAUUUAUUAAUACAAAAUCAUCUAUCUACCUCAAGUAUUAAACAGGCAUAACACAAACAGUAAAUUAAAAGGCAAUGUUAGAAACACAUUAUUUUGUGAGUUUCAAACUUCAGUAUCAACAACUUCAGGGACAUUUUUCAAUAAAAACAUCUAUCAAUAAUAGCACUAUUCCAAGCUUUCUAUUUUUUUAUAGCCUUAUGUUCUUUUGCUCUUCAAUAUGUAGUACUUCUAAAUUACACUAAACUACUCCUGUGCUCCAUAGAUAUAUUACUCUAAAAUCCUGACUUCUUAUUGUUAUUGUUGUCCU